AAAAAGAGGAAGUCUGAUGUUGAUCAUGAGAAUAAUGUUAAAGCCAAGCCAAAAUUGAGCAAUAUGCCAUCGCCUUCUCGGACAAACAAUAAUGGAGCUUCCAUAUCACCUUUCAAAACAGGGAAUAAUAUAACUGAGUGAUAUCUUCUAUUGAGAAUUAGUGCUUGUAAUAUGCCUUGUACCACUAAGAUUGACAGAUCAUUUGAAUCAGUCGUAUUUUCAUAUUUUUGAACAAUGAUACAGCAUAAGCUGAGAUAACCAAUAGGUAUUAUUUUGUACGUGUAAAGUUUAUUUAAAUAGAAUUAAAUGAAAUUGUUGAGAUAGUGA